rnacentral:rRNA from 1 species
CAACGUAAACAACCUGCCUUCAGGAUGGGGACAACAGACGGAAACGACUGCUAAUACCGAAUAAGUUCCAAGAGCCGCAUGGCCCAUGGAAGAAAAGGUGGCCUCCACCUGUAAGCUAUCGCCUGAAGAGGGGUUUGCGUCUGAUUAGCUGGUUGGAGGGGUAACGGCCCACCAAGGCGACGAUCAGUAGCCGGUCUGAGAGGAUGAACGGCCACACUGGAACUGAGACACGGUCCAG